AUUGUAGUAAAUAAUAAUUAUGAAAGCAAAAAAUUAUGGCGGUAUUUUAAGCUUUUCAGAGGAAAAAGSUCUUUAAUGGAUAAAACACCUAAAUCUUACUUGAAUUUGUUAAACCAAUUUGUAUACCACUAUGAAAUUAAUUAUUAACUUUAAUUAAUAAAAUUUAUAAAUAUUAAGGUAAAUUAAGUCAAGGUGCAGUAAAAAUUUAAGCAUGAAGUGAAUUACAUUACUUUUAAGAGAUUAAUAAGUUAAAUUUAAUUAUUAGGAUUUGAAAGUAAAAUUAAAAUAGAAUGUUAGUUUGAAUCAAGCUCUAAAAUAUGUAC
rnacentral:rRNA from 1 species